UCCCAUCCACCCAUUCCGCCUGCCGCCACCGCUUGGUCGCUCCCCUCGGGAUCCCCCCUCGAUCCAGAUCCACCAACCUCGCAGUGCCCCAAUCCAUCCAUCCCAUCCUGCCUCCGACCAUCAUCCUCAAUUUCAGCGCCACCCAACCAACCACCGCACCAGCGCCAUGCCCUGCUUCCUAUCUCCUCCCUGUCUCGCCCGGUGCCCGAUCUGCAUCGCGUCGCUGCCUACGUUCCCCGCUGCAGCCAGCCUCCACCGGAGCUCCCUCCGCCGACGAGCAUCACCAGCCCCAGGCCUGUGCUCGACAACCCUGCUCCCUUUCCCCUCCUGCUUCUGUUUUCUGUCUCUCACCCUGCUCUCUCUCUCUCUCUCUGUUGUCUUCGCAGCAACACCAUGGAUGGCCUCCCGUAGCUCCCGCUUGUUGCGCCGGCGUGGUUCCCGGCCGAUCCGCGCCGAAGAGCCUCGGACUCGUCCAGCCCCUUCAUCCCUCGACGCCGAGUUCCUCUGCUUCACCUGCAAGUCCGCUUCCCCGCCGGUCCAUCACCGUUGCCAGCCAUCGGCCUUGCCUCUGCUUCGAACGACAGGACAGCACCUCGCCCUAUGCCUCCUCCUCGACCCCGCCAGGAGCCGUCCUCGCCAUCGUCCUCGCAGCAGGUCCCGAGCUCGACCCCGUCGCCUCCUCUGCUUCAGGACCGUGCCUCCGCCUCGACCGCUCACCCCCUGUGCUUCGCACGCUGGCCGUCCCCUUCGCCAGGAGCUCUGAAGCGCCGGCGCCGCUAGGUUCGACCGGGCCCGAGGUCCUCCGUCCAUUCACCGGCGUUCCCCUCCGGAUCCCGUCGCCAGAGCCCCAUCCCCGCUGCUCCUCCUCGUCGUCUUCUUCCUGUGCGCCGUCAACGGCCGGUCUUCUUCGAGCAGAGGAAGACGCCCGCUCGCCCGCGCCCCGCGUUGACCGCGUCCUGCUUCAUCCCAGCGUGGGCCAGCGCCUCCCCAAGGCCCAGCCUCCUCUCCACAAGCCGGGCCUUAGCCCAGGGUGAGCCACCCCCAGCGCCCCCUCCUUCUUUUUUUUCUCUCCUGUUGUGCCCCAGCCAGUUUCAGCCCAUAUCAUUUUUUUUCCAGUCCUACGAAUUUAGCAUUAUCCGAGGAAUUACAGAUUUGCAGAAACCCCCUUGCACUUCAUGCAUAUAAUAACUCAUAAUCUGUGCAUCAUAUGUAAAAACUUUAAAUAUGAAAAAUGCUUAGUUUUUCAUCUAGUUUCAUAAUAUCCAACUUUCAUCCAUGUUUAAAUUGUUUAAAAUGCUGUUUGCAUUAAUCUGCUCCUAUGCCAUGCUAAAAUGCUUUAUUUCAUAACUAAAUAACCGUAACUCCAAUUUUAAUAAACUUUAUAUGUAAAUGGGGUAGAAUUAUGUCUAGUUUAUCAUGGUGACCUUUAUUUGCAUGUUUAACAACUCUAAAAUAUUGUUUAGGGCAGAACAGUACCAAACCUAAUUUAUGCUCAUGAGGAGUUUCCGGAAUUGUUGUUCGUUGCUUCCGGCCUCAUUUAAACUUGACUAGAUAGGCAGUUUUACUUUGCUUCACCCUCUUGCCAUGUUAACCAACAUUUAAUAUUGUUGAGUACAUAAACGAGAUCAAACUAAAUAACUUGUUGUGGUGUUUCAUCAAUAUGCAACUCGUUGCAUGUUGAGCUCCACUUAAUUUCUAGGAUUGCUUGUGCACUUUGCCAUGCCAUGCUUCAUUAAACCGGACAUGCAUCAUACUCAUUUGUGCAUCAUGCCAUGUUGAUGUGUGGGUUGUUUACUAUGUUGUGUGCUUCUUUUCCGGUGUUUGCUUCUUCGGGUUGGUUCCGAUAACGUCGCGUUUGUGAGGAUCCGUUCAACUACGUCCGUUUGUCUUCUUCAUGGACUCGUUCUUCUUCCUUGCGGGAUUUCAGGCAAGAUGAUCAUACCCUCGAAAUCACUACUAUCUUUGCUAUGCUAGUUUGCUCGCUCUUUUGCCAUGCCAAUGCUACGAUGCCUACCACUUGCUUGUCAGCCACCCAAAUUGCCAUGUUCAGCCUCUAACCCACCAAUGUCCUAGCAAACCGUUGAUUGGCUAUGUUACCGCUUUGCUCAGCCCCUCUUAUAGCGUUGUUAGUUGCAGGUGGAGAUUGAAGUUUGUUCCUUGUGGGAACAUGGAGAUGUUGUUCCUUAUUGGAACAUGUUUACUUGUUGGGAUAUCACAAUAUAUCUUAUUUAGUUAAUGCAUCUAUAUACUUGGUAAAGGGUGGAAGGCUCGGCCUUAUGCCUGGUGUUUUGUUCCACUCUUGCCGCCCUAGUUUCCGUCAUAUCGGUGUUAUGUUCCCGGAUUUUGCGUUCCUUACGCGGUUGGGCUAUUAUGGGAACCCCUUGACAGUUCGCCUUAAGUAAAGCUCUUCCAGCAAUGCCCAACAUUGGUUUUACCAUUUGCCACCUAGCCUCUUUUUCCCUUGGGUUUCGCGGACUCAAGGGUCAUCAUUAUUUUACCCCCCGGGCCAGUGCUCCUCUGAGUGUUGGUCCACCUGUCAGCUACCGGUGGCUACCAGGGGCAACUCUGGGUUGGCCUACCCGUACCUAAGACAAUCUGAGUGUGCCCUGAGAAAGAGAUAUGUGCAGCUCCUAUCGGGAUUUGUCGGCACAUUCGGGCGGUGUUGCUGGUUUAGUUUUACCGUGUCGAAAUGUCUUGUUGUACCGGGAUACCGAGUCUGAUCGGAAUGUCUCGGGUGGAGGUCUAUUCCUUCGUUGACCGUGAGAGCUUGUCAUGGGCUAAGUUGGGACUCCCCUGCAGGGAUUUGAACUUUCGAAAGCCGUGCCCGCGGUUAUGGGCAGAUGGGAAUUUGUUAACGUCCGGUUGUAGACAACCCGAAGUUGACCUUAAUUAAAAUACAUCAACCGUGUGUGUAACCGUGAUGGUCUCUUUCCGGCGGAGUUCGGGAAGUGAACACGGUUGUUGGAGUUAUGCUUGACGUAGGUUGUUAUAGGAUCACUUCUUGAUCAUACUUUUAUCGACCGUGCCUUGCCUUCUCUUCUCGCUCUCAUUUGCGUAUGUUAGCCACCAUAUAUGCUAGUCGCUUGCUGCAGCUCCACCUCAUUACUCCAUCCUUCCUAUAAGCUUAAAUAGUCUUGAUCUCGCGGGUGCGAGAUUGCUGAGUCCCCGUGGCUCACAGAUACUUCCAAAAACCAGUUUGCAGGUGCCGAUGAGUUUGUGCAGUUGACGCAACCAAGCUCAGGAGGAGCUCGAUGAAGAUCUUGUCCUUUGUGUUGUUUCGUUCUAGUUGAUCAGUAGUGGAGCCCAGUUGGGGUCGAUCAGGGACCUUUGUCGCAUUUGGGGUUCUUCUUUUAUUUUGGUUCCGUAGUCGGACCUUGAUUGUAUCUGGAUGAUGUAAUGCUUUAUUCAUGUAAUUGUGUGAAGUGGCGAUUGUAAGCCAACUAUGUUUCUCUUUCCCUUAUGUAUUACAUGGGUUGUGUGAAGAUUACCUCACUUGCGACAUUGCUUUCAAUGCGGUUAUGCCUCUAAGUCGUGCUUCGACACGUGGGAGAUAUAGCCGCAUCGAGGGCGUUACAAGUUGGUAUCAGAGCCAUCCCCGACCUUAGGAGCCCCCUCUGAUUGAUCGUUUUUAGCGGCCGAGUUGUGUCUAGAAAAAUGUUUUGAGUCCUUUAGGAAUUAUAUAUAUCGGAGAGUUUAGGAAUUCUUUUUACUCCCCAGUCCCUUCGUCGCUCUGGUGAGGCAUCAUGACGUAGAGUUUUGACUCUUCUCUUCUCAAAUUUCACUAAAAAAAAUUUUAGGAUCACGCGAGUAUCUUGGAAUCGUUCCGAUGGUUUUAUGAUGAGAGCAUUGUCUUGGUGCCUCCUGUCAGGGGUUUAGUGGAAGUGUCCCGGGGAGUUGACCUCUGAGGUGUUGUCGUCAUAAUUUUAUCGUUGCAGUUCUGGAAUACCUGAGUUUAGUACGCCGACAUCGAAAAUCUCUUUUAUGCAGUUCGUUGGUGAGAUAACCCCGAUAACCCAGUACUGAGGUGAGUACGGGAGUAUUGCCAUGACUCGUAUAACGGACGCUUUUCGAAGGUUGAGGUAGAUGAUUUCCGAAGGUUUCUUGGUUAUGUGUUGAAGGAUGGAUACAGCUAGAUGUAGGAUUUGCUAGUUUGGGUGAGAUAUUAUGCUUCCCCUGUAUCCCCAACACCUGAUUGCAUAACCGGAAAAUUUCGGGAGUUUCAUAGGUGGGAAUUCAAGUAGCUCUUAGGAUAUCUUUUCGACAGAUGUAUGAUAUGAAAUUGGGGUUCGACGUCUAGUGGUCCGCCUUUCCACGGUCGUUUUUACAGUGGUCUCGUUGUGUCUUAAAGAGUCCUUGGCUAUGCCGACUCGGGGACGCUUCGUAUGUCAUGUGCACUGUCUUGUACAUGAUGGUGCUGUACGAUCGAGCCCGUGUAGGCCCCACCACGAAAACUUCGGAUGGAAUCUCUAUCAUAUGUUUGUUCCGGCUUAUUCUGCAAGCCAGUCCUUUGUUUUUGUUUUGAGUUGUGGUAUUCGAGUUGCUUCAAUGUCAAGUGUUGAUUCCAUACCUUUUCCGAAAUGGUGUUCUCAUACUCCGAUGUGAAUACCAAUCCUUCUCGACAAUCGAGAUUGUCUUGUCAAUCCUUUUCAACCGGCGUGUUUCUCUUCAAGUGGAUCCGAUCACUUCAACAUCAGCAAGACCAAUUAUCAUUUCUUCUCAACGGUGUUUGUUUCAUCCGUCCCAAGUUGUUUUUGUUUUCCCGCCCUCCCACCCCUUUUUCUUCAAGGACUCAUUUAUUUUAAUCAAGUAUCCAUUUUAUUGGUGGAAAUCUCUCUAUUCUUUUCCGUCAAUAUUCUUAUCCGGUGAUUCUCAUGAAGAUCGUAACGGAGCUUCAAGUUAUCAUUCUUUGUCUUUUCUCUUCUUCGGUGGAUUCAAGUCAAGAUUUGUCGAUUAUAUCCCCUUUUUCUCAUUUCAAAUACCUUCUCUUGAUGGUGCUCCUCAUAUUUAUUCACUUCCCGCUAUUCAAUUGUUUCGGAAUGCUCAAGAUAUCUCGAAGAUUCGUGUUUCCACUCUGUUUUCGUUCAAACUCUUUUGAGGAUGUGAUCUCAUUCUAGCCAUUUAAUUCAACCGGUGCAACAUCUCUUUUAAAUCUUUUCAACGGUGUUCUUUUGCGUGGGCUCUAACCCACAGGUCUUUUCCCAAGAUCUUACCUGACUCUUCUAUUUUCCCAAAGCUAUCUCAAAUUCUUUUCCAAGUUGUGACGUAAGAAUGAAUUGCCAUCAGUCAAAUGUCCUCCUCUAAAACCUUUCAAAUUCUUUUCAUCGUUGGCUAAACCCUUCCAUUAUUCAUUCCGGAGUGCCUCAACAAUUCACGGUGGUGUUUCUCGUUGUCAUUUGAAGACCGAAGAAGAGUUUCUCUUUAAUCUUGCUCUAUUCUCUUCAAGAUUCAUGGUGCUAGCUUGUUGCCAUCCUCUCAUAAUUGUUUUCGAUUGUGAGAAUCUUUUUCACCCAUCAGGAGAUAUUCAAGAGUCUUCUCAGUUUGUAUCCGGUGUCCAUCAAUUCAGGUUUAUUCAUUCUCAGCUUUCAGCUAUCAUUCUCCAAAUUUUACCGAUGCUUCGUGCAAGUGAUCUUUAAUCGGCUCGUGAUCUCGUCGUUCUCAUGUAUCUAAAUCCUCUCAAGCAUCUUCGUGUAUUUGCAAAUUCUUCCCGGUGUCUUCCUUAUCUUUUCUUUGUUCAUUUUUAAUUCUUACGGUGGUUCUUUCAAGAUCUCUCUUCCUUGUUCGUCAUAUCAAUUCAUUUGUUGUUCCAAUCCUACCGGUGGUUCUUUGAAGACCUUCUCAAGUUUUGAUAUAUCUAUUUUAAUCCUGUCUACGAGAAUAAGUAGUAUGCCAAAUCCGUUGAGUGUCGUUAAUUUAAUUGGUGAAGGAUACGCAUAACAUAAUUAUUAUUCUGGUUUCAUCCAAGUGAUUAAUCCUUUCCUUCAGAGUUUGUCCAGGAGGAAUAAAUUCUUGGCUUCUUGUUGUUCAUCUUUCUUCCGGAGUUCUAAGUUUUCCGCAUUAUCUCGUCGCGAAGCUCCAUCUAAAUCAUCGCAAGGCUUCACCUUGUGUUUUCAACUUCUCUUUCUUUUUAUCAUCCUUUUAUUACCGGAGUUCUUCAUGGAGGCUCUACAUGAUGGUUCAUCAAGGAUUUAUAUUUCUUCUUGAAGUGUUCAUCGAGAUUCUUUUCUAAGAAACUCAAGCAUUCUUCAUCUUGCUAUCCGGAGUGCAAUUUCUUUCUACCGUAUCUUUGGAGGUGGUAUUAUGUCCUUCUUGAUAAUUCCCCUUCGUUGCUUCGUGAGUCACAAGUUAUCAAGAAUGAGAUAUUUUAAAUCCAUCAAUCUCUUCUUUGGAGUUAUCUUGAGUUAUAUUUCACCUAAAGCCUUCCCUAAGGAUUGUUGCCAUUUAUGGUGCUUGUAAAUGAUCCAAGUACUUCAUUUAUCCUCCCGGUGAAAUAAGUUUCUCGUCUCCUCGUUCAUAUCAAUCCAAUUCUUCUUCCCGUGAGUGGCAGGUUGUCAUCUCAUAAUUUGAGAUGUAUUUCAUAAGACCAUAUCAAGAUUAUUCUUUUCGUUGUUGGUUUUCAACAACUCCAUUCUAGCAUUUGUUGUAUCCGUGAUCUCUCAAGAUCUUGUUUCCCUUCGUUCCGGAGUCAUUGUGAUGUUGCUCUUUUCAACCCAUCAUCUCGUUUGUCAAAGAUCAUGUUCUUUUCGUGCUUAUCCAUUUAACCAGAGUGUCGUGUCCUCUGCUCAAGUUCUUUUCAUCUUAUCUAGUCUUGUAUCACUUUUCAACCGGAGUGCUGUUCGAAUUUGGUCUUCCUUGAUCCCCUUCCUUAACCGACGUUUUUUCAAUAUAUAUCUUCCCUUCAACCUCAAGGUUUUUCGCAAAUGCUCUUUGUCCAUCGUUUCUAACGUAGUGUUUUCGACCUAGUUCACCUUCGUGGUAUUCUUUUCUCGAAUUUGUUCAACCUCGCAAGGUUCUUUGGUUUCACUCUUUUGUGGAAGAAGCAACUUAGUUUUACCUCUUCUCUUCCUCUUCCGUUUCUCUCCGGUGCCAUCCUAGAUCUCGGGACGAGAUCCUCUCGUAGUGGUGGAGUGUUGUAACGCCCCGAGACCGAUGUGCCAGGUGUCGUGCAGUUAUUUGCUGUUGUUGCGUUGUCAUUGGCUUGCGUGUUGCAUUUCAUCAUGUCAUCAUGUGCAUUGCAUCAUCAUGUUUUCAAAACUUGCAUCCGUCCCGGUCUCCUCGUUCCUUCCGUUGUCCGUUCUGAGCCCAGACACACUUGCACGCGCCCGCGGCAUGUCCGAAAUAGUAUUUUAUAAGUGGCUGGAAAAUGUUCUCAGAAUGGGAUGAGAUUUGACGUGUGGUCUUAUUAUAGUGUAGGUAGACCGCCUGCCAAGUUUCAUCGCGUUCGGAGUUCGUUUGAUAGCCCAACCGUUAAACUAUAGCGGCAUAAUAGCCGGUCUAACGUCGGACGUUUUCGGUCUCCGGAAACAGUCGCCGGGCCUCCCUCUCUUCUCUUAUCUCAGCCCGAGACCGUCUGCACAGCUCACUACCUACCGCCAGGUCCAACAUAACCUCUCUCGUCAGCCCGCCGCCCUCCUCGCGCGCGUCGGAAAGUUUUCCCGAACCCGACCCGGACUGUCGCCACCGUUGUGUCCGGAUCAUCCCCAAACGUCUACAAAACGUCUCCGUUUUGUUAUUUGGGCUCCCUAACUAUUUUAUUCGCGACUGUCCGAUUUUUAUCGAAGGGACCAGAUGACCCUAAGCCUACCCACUCGCUAUAUAUUCAGCCUAACCCUAGCCCCUAGCUGUCCCAUCCACCCAUUCCGCCCGCCGCCACCGCUUGGUCGCUCCCCUCGGGAUCCCCCCUCGAUCCAGAUCCACCAACCUCGCAGUGCCCCAAUCCAUCCAUCCCAUCCUGCCUCCGACCAUCGUCCUCAAUUUCAGCGCCACCCAACCAACCACCGCACCAGCGCCAUGCCCUGCUUCCUAUCUCCUCCCUGUCUCGCCCGGUGCCCGAUCUGCAUCGCGCCGCUGCCUACGUUCCCCGCUGCAGCCAGCCUCCACCGGAGCUCCCUCCGCCGACGAGCAUCACCAGCCCCAGGCCUGUGCUCGACAACCCUGCUACCUUUCCCCUCCUGCUUCUGUUUUCUCUCUCUCACCCUGCUCUCUCUCUCUCUUUGUUGUCUUCACAGCACCACCAUGGAUGGCCUCCCGUAGCUCCCGCUUGUUGCGCCGGCGUGGUUCCCGGCCGAUCCGCGCCGAAGAGCCUCGGACUCGUCCAGCCCCUUCAUCCCUCGACGCCGAGUUCCUCUGCUUCACCUGCAAGUCCGCUUCCCCGCCGGUCCAUCACCGUUGCCAGCCAUCGGCCUUGCCUCUGCUUCGAACGACAGGACAGCACCUCGCCCUAUGCCUCCUCCUCGACCCCGCCAGGAGCCGUCCUCGCCAUCGUCCUCGCAGCAGGUCCCGAGCUCGACCCCGUCGCCUCCUCUGAUUCAGGACCGCGCCUCCGCCUCGACCGCUCACCCCCUCUGCUUCGCACGCUGGCCGUCCCCUUCGCCAGGAGCUCUGAAGCGCCGGCGCCGCUAGGUUCGACCGGGCCCGAGGUCCUCCGUCCAUUCACCGGCGUUCCCCUCCGGAUCCCGUCGCCAGAGCCCCAUCCCCGCUGCUCCUCCUCGUCGUCUUCUUCCUGUGCGCCGUCAACGGCCGGUCUUCUUCGAGCAGAGGAAGACGCCCGCUCGCCCGCGCCCCGCGUUGACCGCGUCCUGCUUCAUCCCAGCGUGGGCCAGCGCCUCCCCAAGGCCCAGCCUCCUCUCCACAAGCCGGGCCUUAGCCCAGGGUGAGCCACCCCCAGCGCCCCCUCCUUCUUUUUUUUCUCUCCUGUUGUGCCCCAGCCAGUUUCAGCCCAUAUCAUUUUUUUUCCAGUCCUACGAAUUUAGCAUUAUCCGAGGAAUUACAGAUUUGCAGAAACCCCCUUGCACUUCAUGCAUAUAAUAACUCAUAAUCUGUGCAUCAUAUGUAAAAACUUUAAAUAUGAAAAAUGCUUAGUUUUUCAUCUAGUUUCAUAAUAUCCAACUUUCAUCCAUGUUUAAAUUGUUUAAAAUGCUGUUUGCAUUAAUCUGCUCCUAUGCCAUGCUAAAAUGCUUUAUUUCAUAACUAAAUAACCGUAACUCCAAUUUUAAUAAACUUUAUAUGUAAAUGGGGUAGAAUUAUGUCUAGUUUAUCAUGGUGACCUUUAUUUGCAUGUUUAACAACUCUAAAAUAUUGUUUAGGGCAGAACAGUACCAAACCUAAUUUAUGCUCAUGAG
rnacentral:lncRNA from 1 species